CCAGACUCCUACGGGAGGCAGCAGUGAGGAAUAUUGGUCAAUGGGAGAGAUCCUGAACCAGCCAAGCCGCGUGAGGGAAGACGGCCCUAUGGAUUGUAAACCUCUUUUGUCGGGGAGCAAAAGACGCCACGCGUGGCGUUCCGAGAGUACCCGAAGAAAAAGCAUCGGCUAACUCCGUGCCAGCAGCCGCGGUAAUACGGAGGAUGCGAGCGUUAUCCGGAUUUAUUGGGUUUAAAGGGUGCGCAGGCGGAAUGUCAAGUCAGCGGUAAAAUUUCGGGGCUCAACCCCGUCGUGCCGUUGAAACUGGCGUUCUUGAGUGAGCGAGAAGUAUGCGGAAUGCGUGGUGUAGCGGUGAAAUGCAUAGAUAUCGCGCAGAACUCCGAUUGCGAAGGCAGCAUGCCGGCUCCACACUGACGCUGAGGCACGAAAGCGUGGGUAUCGAACAGGAUUAGAUACCCCGGUAC
rnacentral:rRNA from 1 species